rnacentral:rRNA from 1 species
GAUGAACGCUGGCGGCGUGCCUAACACAUGCAAGUCGAACGAAUCAGAUAUUCAACACUGAGUAUUUAGACGAAGGAAAAAAGUUAGCCAGCGUCAAGGACGAACGAUAGAGAGUCCUUUACGCGUUCAAAAAGUGUGCUAACACAUGAUAGUCUGAAUGUUGAGUGUUGAAUAUCUGAUUAGUGGCGGACGGGUGAGUAACGCGUGGGAAACCUGCCCUAUACAGGGGGAUAGCCUCGGGAAACUGGGAUUAAUACCCCAUAAAACUCUAGUAUCGCAUGAUACAUGAGCCAAAGAUUUAUCGGUAUAGGAUGGUCCCGCGUCUGAUUAGCUAGUUGGUGAGGUAACGGCUCACCAAGGCGACGAUCAGUAGCCGGCCUGAGAGGGUGAACGGCCACACUGGAACUGAGACACGGUCCAGACUCCUACGGGAGGCAGCAGUGGGGAAUAUUGCACAAUGGGGAAACCCUGAUGCAGCGACGCCGCG